CAAAUUUAUAUUUCCUCUUUCUCGUGCAGCUCGUGUUUUACAUACACUCCUUUUCAAUAAUAGGUUGUGUCUCAUUAUGUAUUAUAAUUCAAAGGUCAACCAUCGGGGUCAAGUUGGGUCCACUAUACUUGUUUUGCACAAAACCCACAAUGUUUCAUUGCAGACGUUUAAACAAAACUAGAACUAUUAUGUUCUUUUUGUCUUAAGGUAUUGGACCCGUAAUAGAGUACCUCCUUUUUGAAGAGUAUUCAAUUCCUACUAUAAACCUACUUUGACUGCAAUUUUCAGGGGGGCGUAGGUUCAAGCCCCACUGGGACCAACAUUUUUAUGCCCCCGAAGGGAGGCAUAUAGUUUUUGAACCGUCUGUCGGUCUGUCCCCAAAUUUUCGUGUCCGGUCCAUAUCUUUGUCAUCGAUGGAUGGAUUUUCAAAUAACUUGGCAUGAAUGUGUACCACAGUAAGACGACGUGUCGCGCAAGACCCAGGUCCGUAGCUCAAAGGUCAAGGUCACACUUAGACAUUUAAGGAUAGUGCAUUGAUGGGCGUGUCCAGUCCGUAUCUUUGUCAUCGAUGGAUGGAUUUUCAAAUAACUUGGCAUGAAUGUGUACCACAGUAAGACAACCUGUCGCGCGCAAGACCCAGGUCCGUAGCUCAAAGGUCAAGGUCAUACUUAGACGUUAAAGGGUAGUGCAUUGAUGGGCGUGUCCGGUCCAGAUCUAUGUCAUCGAUGGAUGGAUUUUCAAAUAACUUGGCAUGAAUGUGUACCACAGUAAGACGACGUGUCGCACGCCAGACCCAGGUCCAUAGCUCAAAGGUCAAGGUCACACUUAGACAUUAAAGGUCAUUUUUCAUGAUAGUGCAUUGAUGGGCGUGUCUGGUCCAUAUCAUUGUCAUUCAUGCAUGGAUUUUAAAAUAACUACGCAUGAAUGUGUGACACAGUAAGACGACGUGUCGCGCGCAAGACCCAGCUCCGUAGGUCAAAGGUCCUAAACUCUAACAUCGGCCAUAACUAUUCAUUCAAAGUGCCAUCGGGGGCAUGUGUCAUCCUGUGGAGACAGCUCUUGUUUUCUCCAUAUUUUCCUUUUUUUCUAGUAAGAUUUUACUUCUUUCAAGACUUAUUAUGGACGUAUUGUACAAAAGUGGAAAAUUCUCAUUUUAUAGGCGAUUUUUUGCAGUUAAAAGUGAAUUUACCUCUGAAUCAGGAGGGGUAGAGUUAGACAUCUUUAAAAAUACUGAGUUACAUGCGGUAAAAGUUCUCUAUUUUGCCUUCAUUCUUUAGAUUACAUAUUGUGGAAGAAAUGCUGGUAGGUUUUACUUCUGCUCCAAGGUUAUUUUUGAAUGAAUUGAGCAAAAUUCAAAACAGACCCACAGGAUUCCACCUUAAUUUUUAUGCCCCUGAAGGGAGGCAUAUAGUUUUUGAACCGUCUGUCGGUCUGUCAGUCUGUCUGCAAUUUUCGUGUCCGGUCCAUAUCUUUGUCAUCGAUGGAUGGAUUUUCAAAUAACUUGGCAUGAAUGUGUACCACAGUAAGACGACGCGUUGCACGCAAGACCCAGGUCCGUAGCUCAAAGGUCAAGGUCACACUUAGACAUUUAAGGAUAGUGCAUUGAUGGGCGUGUCCGGUCCAUAUCUUUGUCAUCGAUGGAUGGAUUUUCAAAUAACUUGGCAUGAAUGAGUACCACAGUAAGACGACGUGUCGCGCGCAAGACCCAGGUCCGUAGCUCAAAGGUCAAGGUCACACUUAGACAUUUAAGGAUAGUGCAUUGAUGGGCGUGUCCGGUCCAUAUCUUUGUCAUCGAUGGAUGGAUUUUCAAAUAACUUGGCAUGAAUGUGUACCAUAGUAAGACGACGUGUCGCGCCCAAGACCCAGGUCCGUAGCUCAAAGGUCAAGGUCAUUCUUAGACAUUAAAGGAUAUUGCAUUGAUGGGCGUGUCCGGUCCAUAUCUUUGUCAUUGAUGGAUAGAUUUUCAAAUAACUUGGCAUGAAUGUGUACCACAGUAAGACGACAUGUCGCGCGCAAGACCCAGGUCCGUAGCUCAAAGGUCAAGGUCACACUUAGACGUUAAAGGUCAUUUUUCAUGAUAGUGCAUUGAUGGGCGUGUCCGGUCCAUAUCUUUGUCAUCGAUGGAUGGAUUUUCAAAUAACUUGGCAUGAAUGUGUACCACAGUAAGACGACGUGUCGCGCACAAGACCCAGGUCCGUAGCUCAAAGGUCAAGGUCACACUUAGACAUUAAAGGAUAGUGCAUUGAUGGGCGUGUCCGGUCCAUAUCUUUGUCAUUGAUGGAUAGAUUUUCAACUAACUUGGCAUGAAUGUGUACCACAGUAAGAUGACGUGUCGCGUGCAAGACCCAGGUCCGUAGCUUAAAGGUCAAGGUCACACUUAGACGUUAAAGGUCAUUUUUCAUGAUAGUGCAUUGAUGGGCGUGUCCGGUCCAUAUCUUUGUCAUCGAUGGAUGGAUUUUCAAAUAACUUGGCAUGAAUGUGUACCACAGUAAGACGACGUGUCGUGCGCAAGACCCAGGUACGUAGCUCAAAGGUCAAGGUCACACUUAGACAUUAAAGGAUAGUGCAUUGAUGGGCGUGUCCGGUCCAUAUCUUUGUCAUCGAUGGAUAGAUUUUCAAAUAACUUGGCUUGAAUGUGUACCACAGUAAGACGACGUGUCGCGCGCAAGACCCAGGUCCGUAGCUCAAAGGUCAAGGUCACACUUAGACGUUAAAGGUCAUUUUUCAUGAUAGUGCAUUGAUGGGCGUGUCCGGUCCAUAUCUUUGUCAUUCAUGCAUGGAUUUUAAAAUAACUACGCAUGAAUGUGUGACACAGUAAGACGACGUGUCGCGCGCAAGACCCAGCUCCGUAGGUCAAAGGUCCUAAACUCUAACAUCGGCCAUAACUACUCAUUCAAAGUGCCAUCGGGGGCAUAUGUCGUCCUAUGGAGACAGCUCUUGUUUAAUGUUUGAAUUAGAAUUCUGUUUACUUGAGGCACCCUAGAAAAAAUGAUAUUUACAGUUUUAUUUUGUGUUUUAUAAUUGUUUAACAAUAGUUUGAGGUUUCUUUUAUCAAAUUUAAUGCUGUAAUGAAUUCUCUGCAAACGUUUUAGAUAGUGGCCAACACAUUGAAAUUUUUCUCUACUUGAGCUUGAGGAAAUACCAUAAAUUAUACAAAAUUUACAAAAAACGGCACGGUAAACAACAGUGCGAAACAUGGUCAACUUUAAGAAUAUACCAAGCAAAUGCCAUUUUUAGCUCAUCUGAUUUUUUGAAAAAAAAUGAUGAGUUAUUGUCAUCACUUGAGCGGUUGUCGGCGGCGGCAUCAGCGUCGACGUCGGCAUUGCCUGGUUAAGUUUUAUGUUUAGGUCAGCUUUUCUCCUAAACUAUCAAAGCUAUUGCUUUGAAACUUGGAAUACUUGUUCACCAUCAUAAGCUGACCCUGUAUAGUAAGAAACAUAACUCCAUCUUGCUUUUUGCAAGAUUUAUGGCCCCUUUUGUACUUUGAAAAUAUCAGAUUUCUUGGUUAAGUUUUAUGUUUAGGUCAACUUUUCUCCUAAACUAUCAAACCUAUUGCUUUGAAACUUGGAAUACUUGUUCACCAUCAUAAGCAGACCCUGUACAUCAAGAAACAUAACUCCAUCUUGCUUUUUGCAAGAAUUACUGCCCCUUUUGGACUUAGAAAAAUCAUUUUCUUGGUUAAGUUUUAUGUUUAGAUCAACUUUUUCUCUUAAACUAUCAAAGCUAUUGCUUUAAAACUUGCAGCUCUUGUUCACCAUCAUAAGCUGACCCUGUACAGCAAGCAACAUAACUCCAUCCUGCUUUUUGCAAUAAUUAUUGCCCCUUUUGGACUUAGAAAAAUCAUUUUCUUGGUUGAAUAUUAUGUUUAAGUCAACUUUUCUCAUAAACUAUCAAAGCUAUUGCUUUAAAACUUGCAACAGGUUUUCACCAUCAUAAGUGGACACUGUACAUCAAGAAACAUAACUCUAUCCUGCUUUUUGCAAGAGUGAUGGCCCUUUUUAGACUUAGAAAAUUAUGGGUAUGACAAUAUUUCUAUUAUACAAAAAAAAUCAGAUGAGCGUCAGCACCCGCAAGGCGGUGCUCUUGUUUAAACAUUACUAUUAGGGGUCCAAUACCUUAAAUGUAACAUCAUGACAUAGUUCCUGCUUAAAAAUGUGAAACUCUACCGCUUUCUUAAAACACUACCAUAAGAAAUUGGUGCUGUAAGAAAGUCAGUGGUUAAAUUCCAUUAAACAUUACUAUUAGUGUCUUGCUGAAUGAAAAGAUUCUAUCACUGGUUGUAAUCGCACUCUCCGCUAACUGAGCCUCAUUAAUACUUUACAGUUACCUUAGAGCUGGAUAAUCCCAUCUGCACCUACAACUAGUGAAAGAAUCCUAUAUUCAUUAAUGAAAUAUAGUCUUUAUUUUAGAUGGAAAAUUUGUCGGUAUGUAUUAAACAUAUAAUAUGUCAGUCAGUCACUGGUUUUAUGCUUUGUUAGUAAUCAUCUAGCCAUUCAAUACCCUGGCUAUUGAUUUAGUGUGUUUCUUUCAGGGUGUUUUAUUCUAACAUUGCUCAAUUUGUUUGUCAGUUUAACAAAGAAGAAAACCAAUGCUUGUAUAUUCUGCAAUAAACAGCGGAUGCCACAGGGACUAUUGUGAGAUAUAUAAAGAUAAUGUUGACAGAUUGUGAAAACUAAUGACAAAAUUUGACAGGUAUAUGAUGAUUCAUGACCUUAUUAAAAGUUUGCUUUUAUUAUGCCCCCCUUCGAAGAAGGAGGGCAUAUUGUUUUGCAGAUGUCAGUCGGUAGGUCUGUCUGUCGGUCGGAAUGUAGACCAAUCCGUUUCCGGAUAAUAACUCAAGAAAGCUUGGGCCUAGGAUCAUGAAAGUUGAUAGGGAGGUUGGUCAUCACCAGCAGAUGACCCCUAUUGAUUUUGAGGUCUGUAUGUCAAAGGUCAAGGUCACAGUGACCCUGAAUAGUAAAACGGUUUCCGGAUGAUAACUAAAGAAUACUUGGGCCUAGGAUCAUGAAAGUUGAUAGGGGGGUUGGUAAUGGCCAGCAGAUGAUCUCUAUUGUUUUUGAGAUCAGUAUGUUAAAGGUCAAGGUCACAGUGACCCUGAACAGUAAAACGGUUUCCGGAUGAUAACUCAAGAACGCUUAGGCCUAGGGUCACGAAAGUUAAUAGGGAGGUUGAUCAUGACCAGCAGAUGAACCCUAUUGAUUUUGAGGUCAGUAUGUCAAAGGUCAAGGUCACAGUGACCAGGAACAGUAAAAUGGUUUCCAGGCAAUAACUCAAGAACGCUUGGGCUUAAUGUCAGGAAAAUUGAUAGUUAGGUUGGCCAUAACCAGCAGAUGACCCCUAUUAAUUUUGAGGUCAUUAGGUCAAAGGUCAAGGUCACAUUGGCCAGUAACAGUUAAACGGUUUCAGAUCUUCUUGUCCAAAGCCAUAGGGCCUAGGGCUUUGAUAUUUGGUAUGUAGCAUAAUCUAGUGGUCCUCUACCAAGAUUGUUCAGAUUAUUUCCCUGGGGUCAAAUAUGGCCCCACCCUGGGGGUCACAUGGUUUAUAUAGACUUAUAUAGGAAAAAACUUUGAAAAACCUCUUGUCCAAAACCACAGUGCCUAGGGCUUUGAUAUUUUGUAUAUGACAUCAUCAAGUGGUCCUCUACUAAGAUUGUUCAAAUUAUUCCCCUAAGCUCAAAUAUGGCUCCGCCCUGGGGGUUUACAUAGACUUAUAUAGGGAAAAAACUUUGAAAAUCUUCUUGUCCAAACCACAAAGACUAUGGCUUUGAUAUUUUGUUACGUAGCAUCAUUUAGUGGUUCUCUACCAAGUUUGUUCAAAUUAUCCUUCUAGGGUCAAAUAUAGCCCCGCCCCAGGGGUCAUAUGGUUCAUAUAGACUUGUAUAGGGGAAAACUUAGAAUCUUCAUGUCAUUAACUUACAUCAUUCAAAUUUGGACCACAUGUGUAGUUUUGAGUGGCAAGAUGAACUUUGACAUGAGUUGACCUUGAUCUUGACCUAGUGACCUACUUUCACAUUUCUGUAGCUACAGCCUUCAAAUUUGGACCACAUGCAUAGGUUUGUGUACCAAAAAAAAACUUUGUUAUUGACCUAGUGACCUACUUUCACAUUUCUCAAGCUACAGCCUUCAAAUUUGAACCACAUGCAUAGUUUUGUGUACUGAAAUGAACUUUGAUCUUGAGAUUGACCUAGUGACCUACUUUCACAUUUCUGAAGGUACAGGCUUCAAAUUUGGACCACUUGCAUAGUUUUGUGUUCCGAAAUAAAAUUUGACCUUGAUUUUGACCUAGUGACCUACUUUCACAUUUCUCAAGCUACAGCCUUCAAAUUUGAACCACAUGCAUAGUUUUGUGUACCGAAAUGAACUUUGAUCUUGAGAUUGACCUAGUGACCUACUUCAACAUUUCUCAAGCCACAGCUUUCAAAUUUGGACCACAUACACAUUGUUUUGUACCGAAAUGAAGUUUGACCUUGAUUUUGACCUUGAAGAAGUCUUGAAAUUUGGAACAUUCAAAAAUGGCUCAGUGGAUGGCACCAAGAUCACUCUGUAAUCUCUUGUUAGGUUAAUAGGUUAAAGGUCAAGGUCAGAUUAAACCAGAAUGGUAGAACUUUUUUUUACAGUGAGCAUAUAAUUUCUGUUCCUUGUGCAAUUACUGAAUGCAUCAAAGGGGGCAUUUCGUGUUCAACGAGCUCUUGUUUUAACCUUCAAGUUUGGUUUUCUGAAAAAGGUUUUUCUGUACUGUAGCCAACAAAUCAUAAAUUGAAACAAUAAAAGAGCAUACUGUUAA